rnacentral:lncRNA from 1 species
UUAUUUAUAUUUUAAAUUGUAUAAUAAAAUUAUUUUCUUUUAAAAACUUUGAGUGACGAAUACUAAUAUUUCGUCGCAUAAACUCUGUUUAUUUUUUUAUUUAAUUUUAUAUUUUAAAUUGUCUAAUAAAACCAAUAUUUCGUAGCGCAAAAUCGUUAAAUUUGGGCAGGUACUGAAAAUGGGACGUGGGAAAUUUAUUUUUUUAAACUUUGCUCGACCAAUCCUUCGUCACACAAAGUUUUGGGCAACCAAUAUUUCGUCACGCAAAACCCUAAAAAUUUGGGUGGGCGCCAAAAUGGGAUGUGGGAAUUUAUAAUUUUUUUUAAGACUUUGCAUGACUAAUCUUUCGUCAUGCAAAGUGAUACGGUUUUUAAAACCAAAAUAACUCCUCCACAAUUUUCUCAAUGCCUAUGUAGUUCUCUUACCUCUCUUAUCUUUCCCUCUCCCCAAAUCCGACCAUAUCUCUCACACUCAAUCUCUCCUCUCUCUCUCUCUCUCUCUCUCUCUCUCUCUCUCUCUCUCUCUCUCACUAUCUCUUCUCACUCUCUCUCACUUACUCCUCUCUCCCUAUCUCUCACUCACUCUCAAUCUUGCCAAAAGGUAUUUUCUUCGUAAAUUUUAAUUUAUUUUUCAUUAAUAUGAUUUUUUGGACUUAAUUUUAGGUUUGGGUUCGGUUUGGGGUCAGGUAUAAGGUGAGGGGUGGAGUUUGGGGUCGAAUUUGGGGUAUGCCAAUUUUAGGGGAGGUUAUGCCCAUUUUUUUGGUAUUAUUUUAUGUUUUUUUUUUGUUAUUUGACCAUGUUUGUUUUUUCGUUGGGAAUUGUCAAGACUUUGAUGAUGAAAGUUGAGGAGUUGAGGAUUAUGAUGUUAUCAUACCAUAUCCCCCACCACCACCAACAUAAUAGACUUGUAUUAGGAUUUUAUUAUUGUAAUUUGUUAAUUUAUAUGUACAUUUUUAAUAUAAUCUAUAUUAUGGAUCAUUUGAUCACUAUUUUUCAUAUGUAAUUUUAUUUUGAAUAUGUCAAUUUAAAUUAAAGUAAUUAAACAAAUAAAGCCAUACAAUUAAAUUAAAUUCAAAAAGUAAAAAUUCAAAAAAUCUUGCGCUACCAAAUAUUUCGUUGCGCAAACAAUUACUAUAAUUAAAUAAAAUAAUAAAAAUAAUUAAUAAAAAAAAAGUCAAUUUAAUUAAAUAAAAAAAUAAAAACAAAAAACUUUGGUCAUGCAAAAUCUUGUGCUACCAAAUAUUUUGUCGCGCAGAAUAUUAAAUUAAUUUAAUUAAAUAAAAAAUAAAAAACCAAAAACUUUGUGCGACGAAAUAUUUCAUUGCGCAAAGUACCUUCACGAAAUGAAGAUUAAUUUCCAUGCGCAAACCCUAUGCACGACAAAAAAUUUGUCGCGCAAGGUGUUGAGUGAUGAAAUCUUAUUUUGCGUAACAAAUCUUAUUUUGUCUCACAAAGAGUUUUUUGUAGCAGUGUACGUACAUGACCAAAUGUUAUACCAGGCCAAGUUUCCCAAUAAAGUCUAUGCAAAGGCCGGCCAGUCACAAAUUGGUACCUCAAAAAUCAAAAUACAGUAAAUCCAAUCUUGGACGCACCCAACAAAAUGUGAGAAAUGCAAUGGCAAGGUACAAGUUUUACGAAAACAAGGAAUGAAAGUUCCAUGUUACUGUACCCUUUGAGGUUUAAUCAUUGCCCAUGUUGGUAACAAAACCAGAAAUGGGAUUUUGUAUAUGUUCAUCAAAAGCAAUGCCCCCUUUGGACCACGCCAUCUAGAACAACACCAAACCACACCAGUGGUCAUGAUCUUUUGUGGUACUUUCGUUGGUGGAAUUCAAUUGGCAUGAAAGCUCUUGAUGCAAGGUAGAUGUGCUAUAUUUAUGUUGGAAAGUCGCUAGAUUCAACUCUCAACAAUGACUAUGUUGUAGUUGGCUUAGAUAGUAAUGAGUAAUAAGGGUGCAUAUCAAACCGACUGAUUCCACCCGAAAUGAGUAUUUUAGUUUGGUUUUAAUCUUCAAAAAGACAAACAAUUUGCGUUAUAACGUUAUGAAUUUAGAAACUAAAAAAAAUGAUUUGAUUUUGUUCGCUUUCAUCUAGUUUAGUUAAAAUCGUAAUUGGUUAAUUUAGAUGAAAUUUGACUAUAAAACUUAUUCAAGCCAAACCGAGCUCACCCUCAGGGUUAAAAGUAAAAGAAAACCUAAGAAGCAAAUUUGCAUUGGAAUUUUGGAUAAAGUUUGGUUGUCUGACAAUUGAAUUGACUCUAUACCUCGAAUUUGCAUUCAACAAGCAAAGCAUUCAAGUGAAGAAAAGAAAAGGUGAGAAAGGAAAUCCAAAAUCGUAAUCAAACGACAUCAGGGAGAUGACGGACACUUGCUGCCUGCACACAAAAAGCUGAAAGGCAACUAGAGCAAUAAAGAGGCGUAAUCCUAUGCCUAUAGACUGUUGCAUGAUAGGCCAAGGACCACAGUUUUGGGCCUUCCCUCUUCUGACUGACAGGUCCAGUGGUCCUGGUGGACAAGUGAUCAGAGCUAAAAUUUUGGCUUCAGUUAUAUACCUCGAUUAACGUGUUUAUUUAAAAAAAAAAUUAGAUUUUAAUUCAUAAAUAAGAUGAAAUUUAAAAAAAAUAUCUUAUACAAAAUUAAGAAUUGAUUGUAGUCACUGAACUCUAUUUAACACUAGCAUAUUAAAUGUCUCUCUUUUUCAUUUAUAAUUUUAUGGUGUUCAUAAAUUAAAUUUUAAGAAAAUAUUAUAAAUUUUAAUUCUCAUAAUGGUAAUUAUCUUAUAUAAAAAAAUAUUUUCGUAAAGAUUUUUUGGUACACAUGUUUUUGCAUAUUUUCUUAUGUGCCACUAAUUCAUUACAAUAUAUUUAGAUACGAACAUUUUGGUACAAGGUUAGUAUGAUAUGUUUAGGUAUGGACAUUUUGGUACACUAGUUUAUUAUAAUAUAUGUAGGUACAAACAUUUGGGUACAUUAGUUUAGUAUCAUAUAUUUAGAUACGGAAUUUUUCGGUACACUUAUGUUUUUACAUAUUUUCUUAUGUGCCACUAAUUCACUAUAAUAUAUUUAAUUACGGACAUUUUGGUAUACUAAUUUAGUAAAAUAUGUUAUGAUAACAACGUUUAGGUACACUAAUUAGAGGAAGUAAAAUAAAUAUAAUGAAUUAAAAUAUGUAUAAUAAUAAAUAAUUUUAAUUUUAAUGUAAUGACAUUAAAUAAGAUAUCCAUUAAAUAUUAAAACAAAAAUAUAGUAUCAGUAUGAGUUAAGUACACAUUAGAGGACUAAAAUCAAUAUUCAAUCUAACAUCAGGUUUUUAUUGAAUUUUAAUCUUCUUCAAGGAUUAAAGUUCAAAAAACCCCUAUUUUUUUAUUAGUAACAUAUUGUUUUGUUUGCAUAUUUAAUUUAAAAUUUUGAUAUUCCUAAUAUUAUCUUUGUAAAAAGUCUCCGGAUUGCAAUGUUGGGACAAACAUACUUCUCUAGUGAUUAAUUGAACAGACUGAUUAAAUUGGCUUAAAAAAAAAAAUGUAACUUUCCUUCGCCUAGGAUUCCAGUCCUAACCCUAUAUAUUAUCCUUUGGGGGUUGAUCGGUUGGAUAUCAAUGUUGGGAUAGGAUCCUCUCCGAAUCAUUUCCAUUCAUAUUCGGAAGAUCUUUCAAUCUUAGCUGUUCAAAAGAAAAUUGAUCGGUUAGGAAAACGUUUUGGCAUCAUCGGAAUAGGAAGUAGCUGCAAUGGCAACAAUGGCCAUCAUAUCCUUUACAUCGAAUCCUUGGCAAUGGAGUUGCGAUGGCUUCGCAACUGUGCUCGAGGCAAGGCGUGCAGCAGCCAAAAUUCAGGAUUCAGAGAGGAUCCUUUCUCAUCAAAGUUGUGCUGUAAUCGUCAAGAAAAAUUAUUAGUCUCGUGUUGUAUGUAUCUCUUUCUAUAUUAUAUGAGAAAGAUGUGUAUGGUUAGGGGUGUGCAACAGUUAUGACGGACGGGUAACUGCGGUUAUUUACCCAUAGCCGUUUAAGCUUUUACCCACAUAACCUUUUACCCGUUGGAUAUUUACAUAAACGGGUAUACUCAUACCCAUAAUCGUUUAUAAACGAUUAACCAUACCCAUAACCGUAUACCCAUUUACCCAUAACUGCUUACCUGUUUACUUUUUUUUUUACCCGUAACAACUUGAAAAUUAAAAAGAAAUUUGUCAUAAUUUUCUUUUAUCUAACUAUUAAAUACUGUUAUAAGUACAUUUAACACGUAUUUUUAUAUUAACGGCAAUAUUAUUUAUGAAUAUAUUAUAUGUGAUGUCUCCCAAUUAUUUGACGAUCAAUCUAUUACAAGAAACAAUCAUGCAUGGUUGUAGGUUAAUUAAUAUUCUUGUAUAUAUAUAAGUACGCAUCAACUUGCUAAUAAGUUAAUUUGAUAAAUAUUUAGAUUUUUAUUUAUAAACAUAUGUUCAUCGAUCCAAGCCAUUUAAUCGAUUUCUAAUUUUGGGGUCAAAUAUUUAUUGAAAACUCGAGGCGAAUUAAAUUUAUAUAUAUAUAUAUAUAUAUAUAGGUACGCAUCAUUUGAUAAUAACAUGUUUCUAAAUGCUUAGGUAAUCAUUAUCUUGAAUUGGUCAAAACUCCAAAAGACUCCAAAACAAAAUUGUCGAACACUCUAAUGCUUUAGCACAUUCAAUCAUAUAUAUUAAACAUUAGCUCGUUCUAUCAACAAUAUUUUUUUCUCAAGUGAGGCAUAAAAAAAAAAAUAUAUAUAUAUAUAUAUAUAUAUAUAUAUUAUGGCCCUUUAUAACCAAAUAUAUAUCGGGAUACUAAACCUAGUUAGAAACUAAGUAUUAUUUUUUUUUAGUUUUACAUAUAUCAAAAUAAACAGUUAAAUGGGUACCCGUUUAUAACCGCGGGUAAUACCCAUAACCGCCCAUUUAAAUUUCACGGGUAAGUGGUUAUACCCAUAACCGUUUAUUUAUCUAACUGGUUACUAAUAACCGUAACAGUCAAAUUUAAAUAGGUGGAUAACUACGGUUACCCAUAACCAAUGAGUAUUUACUCAUCCUACGUAUGGUAAACCAUGUGAGAUAUUUAGAAAGCUAUAAUUAUUUGUUGUAAUGUAUAGAUGUAGGACGCAUGAAGGCAAGAAAAGGGCAAUUUCAUCACGUGCAUAUCUUGUCAUUUCUCUCUUUCAAGGGUCAAGAUCUUCAGCUAUCGUGUAAAACGUUUGAAAAAUUGACCAACAAUAUCAUUGUUUGCUAAUUCUUAAAAUUUAAGAGUCCCUUUACCAAACCACAAAUGGUUAUGAUGUUUAUUGGAGGUGUUUUCUAAUUUAUGGGUUGAGUACACAAGAUAAUACAAUGUCAUUUUAAUUUUAGUAAAAUAUGCAUCACGCUCAUUAUUUAUAAUUGAUAUCUGUUACUAAGUUAACUUUCAAAAUGUCAAAAGUCUUAUAAAAUUCAAAUAUAAACCUACAAUUACUACCCAAAAGCAAAAAAAUGGUUUGAUUUGCGAAAAAAAACUCAUCUCUAAUUGAUAGUUGAGUUAUAAUUCUAUAGAGGCCACCAUACCAUUAUUUUGCCAAAGAGUGGCAUCAUGCUAUCCAAAUAUAGCCUCUUUUAGCCUUUUUUUGGUCAUUUUCUCAGUUGCAAUAAUUGAUUUAAAUUCAAUUAUUAUAAUAUAUGUAGGUACAAACAUUUGGGUACAUUAGUUUAGUAUCAUAUAUUUAGAUACGGAAUUUUUCGGUACACUUAUGUUUUUACAUAUUUUCUUAUGUGCCACUAAUUCACUAUAAUAUAUUUAAGUACGGACAUUUUGGUAUACUA